rnacentral:rRNA from 1 species
UACGUAGGGUGCGAGCGUUGUCCGGAAUUAUUGGGCGUAAAGGGCUCGUAGGCGGUUUGUCGCGUCGGGAGUGAAAACCUCGGGCUUAACUCGGGGCUUGCUUUCGAUACGGGCAGACUAGAGGUAUGCAGGGGAGAACGGAAUUCCUGGUGUAGCGGUGAAAUGCGCAGAUAUCAGGAAGAACACCCGUGGCGAAGGCGGCUCUCUGGGACGGUACUGACGCUGAGACGCGAAAGCGUGGGGAGCGAACAGG